rnacentral:rRNA from 1 species
AACGAACGCUGGCGGCAGGCUUAACACAUGCAAGUCGAGCGCCCCGCAAGGGGAGCGGCAGACGGGUGAGUAACGCGUGGGAACGUACCCUUUACUACGGAAUAGCUCUGGGAAACUGGAAUUAAUACCGUAUGUGCCCUUCGGGGGAAAGAUUUAUCGGUAAAGGAUCGGCCCGCGUUGGAUUAGCUAGUUGGUGGGGUAAAGGCCUACCAAGGCGACGAUCCAUAGCUGAUCUGAGAGGAUGAUCAGCCACAUUGGGACUGAGACACGGCCCAAACUCCUACGGGAGGCAGCAGUGGGGAAUAUUGGACAAUGGGCGCAAGCCUGAUCCAGCCAUGCCGCGUGAGUGAUGACGGCCUUCGGGUUGUAAAGCUCUUUUGUCCGGGAAGAUAAUGACUGUACCGGAAGAAUAAGCCCUGGCAAACUUCGUGCCAGCAGCCGCCGCAG